rnacentral:rRNA from 13 species
UAUUAACAGGGGUGACGCAGGAAGGUAGCCCAGCGUGGCGAUGGUAGACCACGUCCAAGGUUGUAGGGCGAGAGGUAGGCAAAUCCGCCUCUCACAUAGCCUGAGAGCUGAUGGUGACCGCGAAUGCGGGAUGAUUGGGUGAUCCUAUGCUGCCAAGAAAAGCCUCGGCGCGAGGUUCUAGCCGCCCGUACCCUAAACCGACUCAGGUGAUCAGGUAGAGAAUACCAAGGCGAUCGAGUGAACCAUGGUUAAGGAACUCGGCAAAAUGCCCCCGUAACUUCGGGAGAAGGGGGGCCGGACACGUGACACCACUUGCUGGUGGAAGCGUUGAUGGCCGCAGAGACCAGGCCCAAGCGACUGUUUACUAAAAACACAGGUCCAUGCGAAGAAGUAAUUCGAUGUAUACGGACUGACGCCUGCCCGGUGCUGGAACGUUAAGGGGACAGGUUAGCUGGUUUAGGCCGGCGAAGCUUUGAACUUAAGCGCCAGUAAACGGCGGUGGCAACUAUAACCAUCCUAAGGUAGCGAAAUUCCUUGUCGGGUAAGUUCC